rnacentral:misc_RNA from 1 species
UAUAGGGCAGUGGCGCAGAA